CCUACGGGAGGCAGCAGUGGGGAAUAUUGCACAAUGGGGGAAACCCUGAUCCAGCGACGCCGCGUGAAGGAAGAAGUAUUUCGGUAUUUAAACUUCUAUCAGCAGGGAAGAAAAUGACGGUACCUGUCUAAGAAGCACCGGAUAACUACGUGCCAGCAGCCGCGGUCAUACGCAGGGGGCGAGCGUUAUCAGGAGUUACUUGGUGUAAAGGGAGCGUAGGUGGUUUAGCAAGUCAGAAGUGAAAGCCCGGGGCUCAACGCCGGGAGUGCUGUUGAAACUGUUGAACUAGAGUGCAGGAGAGGUAGGUGGAAUUCCUAGUGUAGCGGUGAAAUGCGUAGAUAUUAGGCGGAACACCGAUGGCGAAGGCAGCUUACUGGACUCUAACUGACGCUGAGGCUCGAAAGCGUGGGGAGCAAACAGGAUUAGAUACCCUUGUAGUC
rnacentral:rRNA from 1 species